rnacentral:rRNA from 1 species
UACGGAGGGGGCCAGCGUUGCUCGGAAUUAUUGGGCGUAAAGGGCGCGUAGGCGGUGCGGUAAGUCACCUGUGAAACCUCUAGGCUUAACCUAGAGCCUGCAGGCGAAACUGCCGUGCUUGAGGGUGGGAGAGGUGCGUGGAAUUCCCGGUGUAGCGGUGAAAUGCGUAGAUAUCGGAAGGAACGCCGGUGGCGAAAGCGGCGCACUGGAUCCCCCCUGACGCUGAGGCGCGAAAGCCAGGGGAGCGAACGGG